rnacentral:rRNA from 1 species
AUUGAACGCUGGCGGCAUGCUUUACACAUGCAAGUCGAACGGCAGCAUGACCAAGCUUGCUUGGUUGAUGGCGAGUGGCGAACGGGUGAGUAACACAUCGGAACGUACCGUUUAGUGGGGGAUAACUUCAAGAAAUUGAAGCUAAUACCGCAUGAGAACUAUGGUUGAAAGCAGGGGACCUUCGGGCCUUGUGCUAAACGAGCGGCCGAUGGAAGAUUAGCUAGUUGGUGGGGUAAAGGCUCACCAAGGCGACGAUCUUUAGCGGGUCUGAGAGGACGAUCGGCCACACUGGAACUGAGACACGGUCCAGACUCCUACGGGAGGCAGCAGUGGGGAAUUUUGAACAAUGGGGGCAACCCUGAUCCAGCAAUGCCGCGUGAGUGAAGAAGGCCUUCGGGUUGUAAAGCUCUUUUGUCAGGGAAGAAAUCCUUAACGCUAAUAUCGUUGGGGGAUGACGGUACCUGAAGAAUAAGCACCGGCUAACUACGUGCCAGCAGCCGCAGUAACAC